rnacentral:rRNA from 1 species
AGCAGCCGCGGUAAUUCCAGCUCCAAUAGCGUAUAUUAAAGUUGUUGCAGUUAAGAAGCUCGUAGUUGAAUUUCGAGAUCAAAUUGUUGGUCGUGCCUUGGUACGCACUGGCAUUAUUGGUUUCUCCCUUCUGACGAACCACGAUGUCAUUAAUUUGGUGUCUUGGGGAAUCAGGACUGUUACUUUGGAAAAAUUAGAGUGUUUAAAGCAGGCUCACGCUUGAAUACAUUAGCAUGGAAUAAUGAAAUAGGACGUUUGAUUCUAUUUUGUUGGUUUCUAGGAUCGACGUAAUGAUUAAUAGGGAUAGUUGGGGGCAUUAGUAUUCAAUUGUCAGAGGUGAAAUUCUUGGAUUUAUUGAAGACUAACUACUGCGAAAGCAUUUGCCAAGGAUGUUUUCAUUAAUCAAGAACGAAAGUUAGGGGAUCGAAGACGAUCAGAUGCCGUCGUAGUCUUAACCAUAAACUAUGCCGACUAGGGAUCGGAUGAUGUUAAUUUUUAAUGACUCAUUC